rnacentral:rRNA from 1 species
GACGAACGCUGGCGGCGUGCUUAACACAUGCGAGUCGAACGGAAAGGCCCCUUUGGGGGUACUCGAGUGGCGAACGGGUGAGUAACACGUGAGUAACCUGCCCUUGACUUCGGGAUAACUUCAGGAAACUGGGGCUAAUACCGGAUAGGAAUCCUUGCUGCAUGGUGGGGGUUGGAAAGCUUCGGCGGUUUUGGAUGGACUCGCGGCUUAUCAGCUUGUUGGUGGGGUAGUGGCUUACCAAGGCUUUGACGGGUAGCCGGCCUGAGAGGGCGACCGGCCACAUUGGGACUGAGAUACGGCCCAGACUCCUACGGGAGGCAGCAGUGGGGAAUAUUGCACAAGGGGCGGAAGCCUGAUGCAGCAACGCCGCGUGCGGGAGGACGGCCUUCGGGUUGUAAACCGCUUUCAGCAGGGGCGAAGCUUGUGGUGACGGUACCUGCAGAAGAAGCACCGGCUAACUACGUG